rnacentral:rRNA from 1 species
UGCCAGCCGCCGCGGUAAUACAGGGGGUGCAAGCGUUAAUCGGAGUGACUGGGCGUAAAGGGCGUGUAGGCGGUUCGUUAAGUCUGAUGUGAAAGCCCGGGGCUCAACCCCGGAAGUGCAUUGGAAACUGGCGAACUUGAGUACGGGAGAGGAAAGUGGAAUUCCGAGUGUAGGGGUGAAAUCCGUAGAUAUUCGGAGGAACACCAGUGGCGAAGGCGGCUUUCUGGACCGAUACUGACGCUGAGACGCGAAAGCGUGGGGAGCAAACAGGAUUAGAUA